CUUCCUUCUGCAGAUGAAUUCCCAGUCCCCGCCACGAAGAGAGAUGACUUUUUACACAAGAAUAUAAACAGCUUCAUGUUUUGAUUUGAGUUACAGCUUGGUUAAGUCUCAUAACAACAAACAGGUUAUGUUAGACACUUGGUCUUUUCUGUAGAUUGGGUCUCCCUCUAUCACCCAGACAGAAGUGCAGUGGUGUGAUCAUAGCUCACUGCAACCUUAAACUCCUGGGCUUAGCCUCUCCAUUAGAGCGGCCCAGCACCACACCCAGCUAAUUUUUUUAUUUUCUAUAGGGACAGGGGCUCUCUAUGUUGCCCAGGCUCAUCUUGAAGUCCUGGCCUCAAGUGAUCUUCCUUUCUCGACCUCCCAAAGUGCAGGCAUUACUGGGGUAAGCCACUGCAACCAGCCUAACACUUGGUCUUAAACAAAACUAAACCUAACAGCCGGGACGGGACUCAGCCCUUGAAAAAAGAGCUCAGGUGCGGGGAAAAAAAUCUACCUGCAUGAAGGAGAGGAACUUGGAGGAUGCUCAUGAGGGGAGACCUCUUUAGAGUGUUAUUAACGAAACGGGAACAUACCAGGGCAGGAUGCUUCACAAGAGAGGGAGUGGCGGGCUGGGAGACGGCACCGCCUACGGCUAGGUUUGAACCCGCCACCUCCGGCAUAUGGGACCGGUGCCCCACUCCUUGAGCCACAGGCACCACCCCUAACCCACGGUCCCUACAACAGUGGGAUGUGCUCACCUGUAUAGGGAGUCGGAUCUUGGAUGUGAUGCUGCUACCAGACUCCGUUUCCUCCUGAAUCUCCAGUUCAUCCCAGCUGGUGGCUGUGGCCAGGACUGAGCCAGC